rnacentral:rRNA from 1 species
AUUGAACGCUAGCGGUAUGCCUUACACAUGCAAGUCGAACGGAGUGGCGAACGGGUGAGUAAUGUACCGGAACGUGCCCAGUAGCGGGGGAUAACUACGCGAAAGCGUAGCCAAUACCGCAUACCAUUGGAGCGGCCGAUCUCGGAUUAGCUAGUUGGUGGGGUAACGGCCCACCAAGGCGACGAUCCGUAGCUGGUGUGAGAGCACGACCAGCCACGCUGGGACUGAAAGACGGCCCAGAAUCCUACGGGAGGCAGCAGUGGGGAAUUUUGGACAAUGGGAGAAACCCUGUUCCAGCCAUCCCGCGUAUGCGAUGAAGGCCUUCGGGUUGAAAAGCACUUUUGGCAGGAAAGCGGUACCUGCAGAAUAAGCACCGGCUAACUACGUGCCAGCAGCCGCGGUAAUAC